ACCACGUGCAUGCGGCGCUGCCGGCGCCAGACAAGCCGCUGGCGCUCCCUGCCGGUGACAACCUCAAUCCAGUCGUAGAGGUUGAACAGCAGCAGAAGCGAUUCGAUUCGACGGGCAUGUUCCACUGGUGUCCCGACCGACCGAUUGAGGAGUGCAUCCUGGACCGCAACCAGGCGCCAUGACAGUGCUGAACGGUCUGACCUUGGCGUAUGUCUAUUCGCCGAGCCGGACUCGCCGCUGAUUGGUCUACGGAACCUCGUCAUGCCGCUGCGCGCCUCCAACUUUCACUACCACGAGCUGAAGCACGUUGUCAUACUGGGAAACCUCGAACUACAAUCAAGCGCGAAGUGGCGCAAACCUUCACAAAUCUGCCCAAUGAUCCUCUAAAUACUAGAGGGCUCACCGCUCAGCCGCGCCGACCUGCGCGCCGUGAACGUCAACCUGUGUGACAUGUG